rnacentral:rRNA from 1 species
UACGUAGGGUGCAAGCGUUGUCCGGAAUUAUUGGGCGUAAAGAGCUCGUAGGCGGUUUGUCGCGUCGAAUGUGAAAACCCGGGGCUCAACCCCGGGACUGCAUUCGAUACGGGCAGACUAGAGUUCGGUAGGGGAGUCUGGAAUUCCUGGUGUAGCGGUGAAAUGCGCAGAUAUCAGGAGGAACACCGAUGGCGAAGGCAGGUCUCUGGGCCAUAACUGACGCUGAGAAGCGAAAGCAUGGGGAGCGAACAGG